GAUGAACGCUGGCGGCGUGCCUAAUACAUGCAAGUCGAGCGAACAGACGAGGAGCUUGCUCCUCUGACGUUAGCGGCGGACGGGUGAGUAACACGUGGAUAACCUACCUAUAAGACUGGGAUAACUUCGGGAAACCGGAGCUAAUACCGGAUAAUAUAUUGAACCGCAUGGUUCAAUAGUGAAAGAAGGUUUUGCUGUCACUUAUAGAUGGAUCCGCGCCUCAUUAGCAAGUUGGUAAGGUAACGGCUUACCAAGGCGACGAUGCGUAGCCGACCUGAGAGGGUGAUCGGCCACACGGGAACUGAGACACGGUCCAGACUCCUACGGGAGGCAGCAGUAGGGAAUCUUACGCAAUGGGCGAGUGCCUGACGGAGCACCGCCGCGUGAGUGAUGAAGGUCUUCGGAUCGUAAAGCUCUGUUAUUAGGGGAGAACAAAUGUGUAAGUAACUAUGCACGUCUUGACGGUACCUAAUCAGAAAGCCACGGCUAACUACGUG
rnacentral:rRNA from 1 species